GGUGAUUGUUAUUAGUGCCGUGGUAUAUUGUCUCACGUGAUUGAAGUGCCUCGGUGACGCCUGAUACCGGACGGAUUAUUUCACGAGUUUUUUUAAUACUGCAUAGUGCCGUUUCUUGGAGUUGGUUAGGGCUUGAGGUGACUGUAGUACUGAGAAACCGAUGGUGAUGGUGGAGUUUGGUGGUGGCUGGCGUAUAUAAGUGACUGGUUGAGCCGCCACAGUGUGAGGAAAAGUAAACUGAAGUGUAGUGGAAGACAUUGUAAUAGCAUAAUGGCUCCAGCGGGUGUAUGGCGGCGUGAUAACCGUGAAUAUUACUGGAGGAAACGAUAAAUCUUGAUCUUGAUCUUCAUACCACCUCAGGAUCACUCCUGAGAACACUCACUGCGUCAAUCAUCCUUCCAUUCGUCUCCCCACAUAGUCCAGCAGUAACGGGAUAGACCCAACUCGGACCGUUCUGAAAUACCAGCUCGUACCAUCAUCUCAACCAACUCGAGUCAUUCUGAACGACCAACUCUGGCCAAACUUGAAUCAUCUUUUAUUCCAACUCUAAUUCAAGAUCCAAACCUUAGAUUCCUACAACAAGUAAGGAAUGGAGAAGAAUAGCACAAGAUUUUGAAGACAAAUGGCAGUUUCCUUAUUGUUUGGGUGCUAUUGACGGCAAACAUGUUAGGAUUGUUCCCCCAAAAGAUAGUGGAUCACAUUAUUAUAACUACAAAAAAACGCACAGCAUUGUAUUGCUGGCUAUAGCAAACGCUCACUGUGAAUUAAUUUAUUGUGACGUUGAAACGAAUGGUAGACUAUCUGAUGGAGGUGUGAUCAACAACUCACUUUUCUACGAAAAACUUGUAAAUAAUCAAUUAGAUAUACCUGAGUCUGAACCAGUUAGUUCCGAUCUUGAUAUGGAAUACGUUUUUGUGGGGGAUGAUGCCUUUUGCACUGCGGCCUGACCUCAUUAAGCCCUACAAUCGGGAUUCACUGAACAACGAGAGAAGAAUAUGUAACUAUCGCAUUUCCAGAGCACGACGAGUGGUUGAGAACACUUUUGGAAUUAUGGCAUCAAGAUUUCGUAUUUUACAUACUGCGAUUAAUUUAAAAGUUGAAUCUAUAGACUCAGUAAUCCUCGCUUGUUGUGCGUUACACAAUUUCAUGCGCAAUAAAUCAGUGACAUACGCCCCCACUGAAUGUUUUGAUAAGGAAGAUACUACCGAUGGUACUAUUCACCUCGGUUCAAGGUGCAAUCCUGAUAUUCUGCACAACCUCGAACGACGUUCAAGAGGACAAGUUCUCGAACAAGCAAAACAAGUUAGAGAAAAGUUUUGCUCAUAUUUUAAUGGAGUGGGUUCAGUUACAUGGCAAGAUAAUAUGGCAUUGAGCAUUUGAGAUUUUUGGUUUCAAAAUCAAAACUGCAAACAGUUUCAAUAUAAAUAAAUGGUUUAGUUUAGUAAGGUUAUCAAACAGUUAUAUUAUAAAGCAGUAUAAUAAAAAUGUGUACAUUAAUUUUGUAAAAUUUGAACGCAUCUAUUCAUUAUGUUAAU